GCGUAACGCGUAUACAAUCUACCUUUUGCUGAGGAAUAGCCCAGAGAAAUUUGGAUUAAUGCCUCAUAGUAUGCAGACUUCGCAUGGAGACUGUAUUAAAGGUUACGGCAAAAGAUGAGUAUGCGUCCUAUUAGUUAGUUGGUGAGGUAACGGCUUACCAAGACAGCGAUAGGUAGGGGCCCUGAGAGAGGGAUCCCCCACACUGGUACUGAGACACGGACCAG
rnacentral:rRNA from 1 species